GUCUUCUUAGCAGCCUCAAAGAGGAUUAAAUGAGAUGACAGACAUAAAAUGGGUAGUGCAACGCUUGGUUCACUGGAUAUAAAAGCUCAAGUGGAUUAACUACUUCUGAGUAUUAGAGACUGAGUUGAAUCCUCCCAAAGAAAUCUCAUCACAGAUGGUUGGGAGCCACGCUGAUUAGAAUGCCAACUGUUCCAGCACUAGGACACGUUUAGAGGAAAAAGACCAUGUGAUUACACAGCAAGAAGGCAGCCAUCUAUAAGACCGGAAGCAAGGCCUCAGCAGAAAGAGAUCCUGAAGAAACCUUGAUCUUGGACUUCUAGUCUCCAGGACUGGGAGAGAAUAAACUGUUGUUUUAGCCACACAAUCUGUGGUCUUUUGUUAUGGCAGUUCAAGCAGAUUAAUAUAUAUUUGAUGCUAUAAAUUUCCCACUAAACACUGCUUUUGCUUUACCCCACAAAUUUUAAUGAGUUGCAUUUUAAAAAAAUUUUUAUUUAGUUUAAAAUAUUUUUACACUUUUCUUGAAACUUCCUUCACCUCACUGUUAUUUAGAAUUGUGUUGUCACAAAUAUUUGCGAAUUUUUUAGCUAUCUUUCAGUUACAGAUUUCCAGUUUAGCUCCAUUGUGGUUUGAUAGCAUGUUUUGUAUGAUUUCUAUUAUUUUAAAUUUGUUAAGGUAUGUUUUGUGGUUCAGAAUGUAGUCUGUCUUGGUGGAUAUUCCAUGAGAGCUAGAGAAGAAUGUGUAUUCUGCUUUGCUGUAUGAAGUAGUCCAUAAAUGUCAAUUAAAUCUAGGUGAUUUUGCCAUAAUGAUGUUCUGCCCACUGGAUCUGUCAUUUACUAGUCGAAGAGUGUUGAGGUCUUCAGAGGUAAUCAUUAAUUUGUCUAUUUUUCGUUGCCAUUCUAUCCAUUUUUUCCUCAGGUAGGCACAUACUUAUUAAGGAUUAUUACAUCUUCUUAGAUAGUUGGUCCCUUUAUUAUUAUGUAAAGCCUCUCUUUAUCACCUAAUGUUCCUUGCUCUGAAGUCUGCUUUAAUAUAAAUUAUAAUAACUGCUUCAGCUUUCAUUUCAUUACUGUUAUUAUGGUGUAUCUUUCUUCAUCCCUUUACUUUUAACCUGUUUGUACCUUUACAGUUAAGAUGGCUUUCUUGACUGAGCAUGGUGGCUCAUGCCUGUAAUCCUAGCACUUUGGGAGGCCAAGGCAGGUGGACCAUGAGGUUGGGAGUUCAAGACCAGCCUAGCCAACAUGAUGAAACUCUGUCUCUACUAAAAAUUCAAAAAUUAGCCAGACACGGUGGCGGGUGCCUGUAAUCAUAGCUACUUGGGAGGCUGAGGGAGGAAAAUCACUUGAACCUGGGAGGUGGAGGUUGCAGGAAGCCAAGAUUGCACCACUGCACUCUAGCCUGAGUAACAGAGUGAGACUUUGUUUCCAAAAAAAAAAGGCUUUCUUUUAGACAGCAUAUAGUUGGGUCCUAUGUUUUAUCUACUCUGACAGCCUAUCUUUCAAUUGGUGUAUUUAGACCAUUCACAUUUAAAGUGAUUAUUGAUAUAGUUGGAUUAAUUUAUACCAUAAUUGUAACUUUUCAUUCAUUAUCCUUUUCUGUUUCUUUUUUCUGAAAUCUCUGAUCUUGUCAUUUUGUAUACCUCCAUUUUCCAUCGUAGUAUAUAUGUCUUUUAAAAAAAUUAGUAGUUAUCCUAGAAUUUGUGGUAUAUAUUUACAUUAAUCUGUGUACUUUCACUGUAACCACUUCACAGGUUGUGCAGGUACCUUAAAAGAGAGUAUUCUUGAUUUUUCUUCCCUUUACUUCUUAUUACAUGUUGUCUUUUAUUUCUUUUAUCCAUAAGCUAUAGUCACCCAGUAUAGUGAUGUUAUUAUAGUUUUGAGCAAGCAAUUAUUUAUCAGAUCAAUUGAGAAUAAGGAAAAUACACGAUUUUACUUUCUGUAAUGUACUAAAUUGUGCCUCUUGAAAACACACAUUUUAAAGUCCUUACCCCCAGUAUCUGGUAAGCAUGAGGACUAGCUUUCAUAUGUGGUAUAUAUUCUGAACCAGCAACCAAUGUUCGGUGCCAUUUCUCUCAUUGCUAGAAUAGAAGGAGGUGGGAACUAAAGGACAAAAGUAGAAGUGAUGCAGUUGUGGUUUUCCCAAGAACAUGCUCACAAACUUUUUGAUUUCCAUCCG